rnacentral:rRNA from 1 species
GAAUGAACGCUGGCGGCAGGCCUAACACAUGCAAGUCGAACGGAGUUAUAUUGUAGCUUGCUAUGGUAUAACUUAGUGGCAGACGGGUGAGUAAUGUAUAGGAAUCUACCUAGUAGUACGGAAUAAUUGUUGGAAACGGCAACUAAUACCGUAUACGCCCUAUGGGGGAAAAAUUUAUUGCUAUUAGAUGAGCCUAUAUUAGAUUAGCUAGUUGGUGGAGUAAUAGCCUACCAAGGCAAUGAUCUAUAGCUGAUCUGAGAGGAUGAUCAGCCACACUGGAACUGAGAUACGGUCCAGACUCCUACGGGAGGCAGCAGUGGGGAAUAUUGGACAAUGGGCGAAAGCCUGAUCCAGCCAUGCCGCAUGAGUGAAGAAGGCCUUUGGGUUGUAAAGCUCUUUUAGUGAGGAAGAUAAUGACGGUACUCACAGAAGAAGUCCUGGCUAACUCCGUGCCAGCAGCCGCGGUAAUACGGAGAGGGCUAGCGUUAUUCGGAAUUAUUGGGCGUAAAGGGCGCGUAGGCUGGUUAGUAAGUUAAAAGUGAAAUCCCGAGGCUUAACCUUGGAACUGCUUUUAAAACUGCUAACCUAGAGAUUGAAAGAGGAUAGAGGAAUUCCUAGUGUAGAGGUGAAAUUCGUAAAUAUUAGGAGGAACACCAGUGGCGAAGGCGUCUACCUGGUUCAAAUCUGACGCUGAGGCGCGAAGGCGUGGGGAGCAAACAGGAUUAGAUACUCCUGGUAGUCCACGCUGUAAACGAUGAAUGUUAAAUAUGGGAAGUUUACUUUCUGUAUUACAGCUAACGCGUUAAACAUUCCGCCUGGGGACUACGGUCGCAAGAUUAAAACUCAAAGGAAUUGACGGGGACCCGCACAAGCGGUGGAGCAUGUGGUUUAAUUCGAUGCAACGCGAAAAACCUUACCACUCUUUGACAUGGAAAUUAUACCUAUUCGAAGGGAUAGGGUCGGUUCGGCCGGAUUUCACACAGGUGUUGCAUGGCUGUCGUCAGCUCGUGUCGUGAGAUGUUGGGUUAAGUCCCGCAACGAGCGCAACCCUCAUCCUUAGUUACCAUCAGGUAAUGCUGGGGACUUUAAGGAAACUGCCAGUGAUAAACUGGAGGAAGGUGGGGAUGAUGUCAAGUCAUCAUGGCCCUU